UACAGAGGUCUCAAGCGUUGUUCGGAUUCAUUGGGCGUAAAGGGUGCGUGGGCGGCGCGGUAAGUCGGGUGUGAAAUCUCGGGGCUUAACUCCGAAACUGCAUCGAUACUGCCGUGCUUGAGGACUGGAGAGGAGACUGGAAUUUACGGUGUAGCGGUGAAAUGCGUAGAUAUCGUAAGGAAGACCAGUGGCGAAGGCGGGUCUCUGGACAGUUCCUGACGCUGAGGCACGAAGGCCAGGGGAGCAAACGGG
rnacentral:rRNA from 1 species